AAUCAACGCUGGCGGCGUGCCUCAGACAUGCAAGUCGAACGAUUAAAGCUCUCUUCGGAGAGUGUAUAGAGUGGCGCACGGGUGAGUAACACGUAAGUAAUCUACCUUUGAGUGGGAAUAACAGUCGGAACGACUGCUAAUACCGCAUAAUGCAGCGGCACCGCAAGGUGACAGUUGUUAAAGGAGCAAUUCGCUUAAAGAGGAGCUUGCGGCAGAUAGUCUUGUUGGUAAGGUAACGGCUUACCAGGGCUACGAUCUGUAACCGGUCUUAGAGGACGGUCGGUCACACUGACACUGAAUAACGGGUCAGACUCCUACGGGAGGCAGCAGUCGGGAA
rnacentral:rRNA from 1 species